ACAUACAUCAUAUUGCAAUAUAAUUUACUUUGAGAUUUCAAUUUGGAAAAUGGCAUGGAAAUAAUCCAGCUUGAACAUCGUCCUCCUCACCUCCUGGACUAGGGCGAGGGCCCCUUAUAUUUCUUCAUGGCAAUUGUGUCACAGUUCAAACGCUCGUACCCUGACUCCAUCUGGGAUUUGGAAUGCACUCAGGGAAGUGGCUAUGCAUGGAGACUAGAAAUGGAAGAGGCUUCCAAGGUCAUGCCUUUCAGGCUCCCUUCAAAUUCUACAGCUACUGUGAAGAGAGUUGCAUUCCCACAGAGAACAUGUCAGACUGGAGGAAAAUUGUGACAAAAGGUCUCCCCAAAGGUCUCUGAAACUUCGAUCUUAUCUCAUUCCACGAGGCAAAGGCCAGUUUCCUAAAUCAAAGAAUGAAACAAAGUACAUCUUUUUCAAGCAUUGUUUUGACAUCACUCCCUUUUAUACAACUGGACAGGCACUCCCAUUGUCUCUUUAAAUAAUUUUUAAACACUCCUGAA